CUGAGAAACCCCUCGGAAAGCACAACACUUCAGCAGGGUCCUGAGGAAGGAUAUGACAAAGUUCUGCAAGAUGUGACAUCUGGUGGAUGGCCUGCUCCCAGUGACCCAGGGCCCCUGUCAGGAUCCCUGGCUGCCUGUGUAUCACGGAGCUUGCUGCUUAACAACAGAAAUAAAGCACUUGUCAGGCAGAAGCAAUUGUGUCAGUGCAAAAUGGAAUUCGCAAGACUAAAGUUUACACGAGGGAAACAUCUUGUUAGCAUCUGUCAGGACGAAUGCCAUUUUGCCUCAAGAAAAUGCUGAGCCUGGCAGAGUCUGGGCACUGUGCACUGAGAGCUCACAGGUGAGUAAGUUGUCUGGCGCUUUCUGCAGUGC
ensembl:lncRNA